UGCUGUUUGAUGCCUCCUCACUGUCC
rnacentral:piRNA from 1 species